AUGAUGUUUGUUCGUGCUCUACCUCGUAUCGAGGCUAUACCAGAUCACGCACUCAUUCUCCUAACUACUGGUUUGCCACGACCACAACAUAGACGCAAGUUCAAGUUCGAACUUGGGUGGUUGCUUCGUGAUGGCUUCCAUGACAUGGUCGAGGAGGUGUUGGAGAAACCGGUGGCCGGGUCUACCCCAAGUCCUCAAUACACAGAUGGAAUAACAAAAUGCGUGCAUUACGUAAAUUCCUUGAUGGUUGGGCUAGGCAUACGGUGGGUAUCCUCAAAAAAGAGAAGCUUCGUCUUUCAUCUAUCAUUGAUGAAUUAG
rnacentral:rRNA from 1 species